rnacentral:rRNA from 1 species
AGAGUUUGAUCAUGGCUCAGAGCGAACGCUGGCGGCAGGCCUAACACAUGCAAGUCGAGCGGCCGUAGCAAUACGGCAGCGGCAGACGGGAGAGUAACACGUGGGAACGCGCCCUUCGGUUCGGAAUAACUCAGGGAAACUUGGGCUAAUACCGGAUACGCCCUUACGGGGAAAGAUUUAUUGCCGAAGGAUCGGCCCGCGUAAGAUUAGAUAGUUGGUGGGGUAAUGGCCUACCAAGUCUACGAUCUUUAGCUGGUUUGAGAGGAUGAUCAGCAACACUGGGACUGAGACACGGCCCAGACUCCUACGGGAGGCAGCAGUGGGGAAUCUUAGACAAUGGGCGAAAGCCUGAUCUAGCGAUGCCGCGUGAGUGAAGAAGGCCUUAGGGUCGUAAAACUCUUUCGCCAGAGAUGAUAAUGACAGUAUCUGGUAAAGAAACCCCGGCUAACUCCGUGCCAGCAGCCGCGGUAAUACGGAGGGGGUUAGCGUUGUUCGGAAUUACUGGGCGUAAAGCGCACGUAGGCGGACUGAUCAGUUAGAGGUGAAAUCCCAGGGCUCAGCCCUGGAACUGCCUUUAAUACUGUCAGUCUAGAGAUCGAGAGAGGUGAGUGGAAUUCCUAGUGUAGAGGUGAAAUUCGUAGAUAUUAGGAGGAACACCAGUGGCGAAGGCGGCUCACUGGCUCGAUACUGACGCUGAGGUGCGAAAGCGUGGGGAGCAAACAGGANUAGAUACCCUGNAGUCCACGCCGUAAACGAUGAGAGCUAGACGUCGGGCAGCAUGNUGUUCGGUGUC